rnacentral:rRNA from 1 species
UACCAGCACCCCGAGUGGUCGGGACGAUUAUUGGGCCUAAAGCAUCCGUAGCCGGUCAUGCAAGUCCUCCGCUAAAUCCAGCCGCUCAACGGUUGGGCUGCGGAGGAUACUACGUGGCUAGGAGGCGGGAGAGGCAAGCGGUACUCAGUGGGUAGGGGUAAAAUCCUUUGAUCCAUUGAAGACCACCAGUGGCGAAGGCGGCUUGCCAGAACGCGCUCGACGGUGAGGGAUGAAAGCUGGGGGAGCAAACCGG